rnacentral:rRNA from 1 species
UACGUAGGGUGCAAGCAUUAUCCGGAUUUACUGGGCGUAAAGCGUUCCGUCGGCGGUUUAUCAAGUUUCAUCUCUAAUCCUGGGGCUCAACCCCAGACUGGGAUGGAAAACUGGUAGACUAGAGUUUACUAUGGGGAGCUGGAAUUCUCGGUGGAGGGGUGAAAUCCGUAGAUAUCGAGAGGAACACCAUUCGCGAAGGCGAGCUCCUAGGGUAACACUGACGCUCAGGGACGAAAGCUUGGGUAGCAAAAGGG